CUACGGGCUGCUGCAGUGAGGAAUUUUGCGCAAUGGGGGAAACCCUGACGCAGCAACGCCGCGUGAGUGAUGAAGGCCUUCGGGUCGUAAAGCUCUGUCAAGUGGGAAGAACCUAUCGAUAUUGAAAAUAUAUUGAUACUGACGGUACCACAAGAGGAAGCACCGGCUAACUCCGUGCCAGCAGCCGCGGUAAUACGGGGGGUGCAAGCGUUAUUCGGAAUCAUUGGGCGUAAAGGGCGCGCAGGCGGCCUUGUAAGUCAGAUGUGAAAGCCCGGGGCUCAACCCCGGAAGGGCAUUUGAAACUAUGAGGCUUGAGUAUGGGAGAGGGAAGUGGAAUUCCUGGUGUAGCGGUGAAAUGCGUAGAUAUCAGGAGGAACACCGGUGGCGAAGGCGACUUCCUGGACCAAUACUGACGCUGAGGCGCGAAGGCGUGGGGAGCAAACAGGAUUAGAUACCCCCGUAGUC
rnacentral:rRNA from 1 species